rnacentral:rRNA from 1 species
GACGAACGCUGGCGGCGUGCCUAAUACAUGCAAGUAGAACGCUGAAGGAGGAGCUUGCUUCUCUGGAUGAGUUGCGAACGGGUGAGUAACGCGUAGGUAACCUGCCUGGUAGCGGGGGAUAACUAUUGGAAACGAUAGCUAAUACCGCAUAAGAGUAGAUGUUGCAUGACAUUUGCUUAAAAGGUGCAAUUGCAUCACUACCAGAUGGACCUGCGUUGUAUUAGCUAGGUGGUGGGGUAACGGCGCACCAAGGCGACGAUACAUAGCCGACCUGAGAGGGUGAUCGGCCACACUGGGACUGAGACACGGCCCAGACUCCUACGGGAGGCAGCAGUAGGGAAUCUUCGGCAAUGGACGGAAGUCUGACCGAGCAACGCCGCGUGAGUGAAGAAGGGUUUCGGAUCGUAAAGCUCUGUUGUAAGAGAAGAACGAGUGUGAGAGUGGAAAGUUCACACUGUGACGGUAGCUUAACAGAAAGGGACGGCUAACUACGUG